rnacentral:misc_RNA from 1 species
AUCCGGAACAAUUACUUCCAUCUUUAUUGAAGCAGACCGAUCAUUUGAAGUGUGACCAUCUUUUGAGGAAGGCCUUGGAAUGAUAGUGCCAUCUGUCCCAGAAAAUACCCCUUUACGUGUUAGAGACCUAGGAGUUUCUGUCAAGUUAGCAGCAUAAACCGGUGCAGAUGUUGCUGGAGCGGGGACAACAUAAUGUUCAAGAUCAAGCUCUAGACUUGCUGAAGAGCCAUGCUCUGCACCCAUUGCUGGUGUCGAAUUUAUGCUAACAUCUGGUACUCCUCGAACAGUAGAAAGCCUGCGAUUUUCCUGAAAGGCUCUCCAACUAGCCGCAAGGUCAAAUGGUGAAACCCUGUCUGCUUUAACGAAUACUCUAUAUUCAAUAAUAUCUUCCUUUUCCAGCAUA